rnacentral:lncRNA from 1 species
CCAGAGCCCUACUCACUUCCACCCCCCAGCUAUCGGUAGUUCAGCUGUCUCUCAUCACUCAUGGAUUCUACUGCUUAUUAGAAAUCUUCACCUGCAUGUGUCACUGGCACUCUCUAACGUCCCACAUCUAAGGCUGAACAUCACUGCUCUUUUACUGCCAAUCUUUGCCAUUUCAGUAAAUCCACCUAGUGAUCCAUGCCAUCUCCCCUUCUCUUUUACCCACUGUGCUCAAUACACAUCACUAAGUCCUUUCUAUUUUACCUAGAAAACAUCAAUUUCAAAUAGGUCCACUUCUUACCUCCUGCAUUUGGCACCAUCCUGCUGCUUCAGUCACCAUCACCACUCAGUGGCACCAGUCCAUAAACUCACUUUGCUUGUCCCCUGCUUCCAUUCUUACUCUCCCUCAAUGAAUUUUCCAAUCGCAGCCAGAUUAAGCUUUCAGAAAUGCGGACCUGAGUCAUGUCACUACCCCCUUAACACCCUCCACUGGGCUCCAGUGCACUUAGGAUACAGAACAUGGUCUCGAAGACAUUCAUCUGUAAAGGAAUGCUGCCUCAUUUUGGGACAGCCCCCGAUAUAAAUCAGGAUGGGCCUUCUUUCAACAUCUUGGACUAGCCUAGCUUUCCCACUGCUGGGCCCUCACACACGCUGUCCUCUUGUCAGGAGCAUUCUUCCCUCCAGUCCUCAGCUGCCCACCUACUUUUCCAUCCUUUAGAUCCUGACUCAAACAUCGAUUCUUUACAGGCACCUUCCUUAAAUCUUAAUUAUAUUAGGUCUCUCCGUUAGACUCUCAGGUAGUUUUUUUCCUCACUGCAUUUGCCAAGUUUAUAAUCAUGUAUCUGUAGACAACAAGAGGGAGCCUGGAGAUGACUUCAGGCAGUUCAUUUUCUUUUGUAAAUCUCUAAAAUAAGCCUUUAGAAAUGAAACCAAGUUUUUUAUUCCAGGCAGUUCAUUUUCGUUUGUAAAUCUCUAAAAUAACCCUUUAGAAAUGAAACCAAGUUUUACACCUAAAAAAAUCAUGAUUCAAAGAAUUGAGGCCCAAUUUGAAUAAGUUUUGCCACACAAAAAGCUUAUUUCUGUUAAAUUUCUUAAUGAAAUGGCAAAAAGGCAUCUCAAAACC